rnacentral:lncRNA from 1 species
UUGCACAGAUUCAAAAUUGAAUUGAAUUACGAAUAGCUCAUGCACAAUAUUAAUCAUGUCUAACUUGUUACCUUUAAACACUUACAUGGACAUCACAUUUCUCCCAUUGCCCGUGCAUUGCAACGGGGGCAGACUUAUUCUGGUGAUUUAACAAUGACCUUACUUAAAUCUAUCUGCCACCAAUACAAUGUUGGCAUCACCAUACCCGACUCACAAUCUCUUCUAUCCAUGCCCCAUUCAACCAGAAUGGUAAUAGUCAUUUUCAAACAUAAACAUCAAUAUAAAUUAACUAAACUGUACUUGAUAUUGACCUAAAAUAAGAAGCCGAAAGAUCAAACUUCCUUUUGAACAAGAGCUGUUGUACAAAAGGUUUACCUAGCUAACCAUGAUUUAUAAGAGAGUAUGAAAUCAGUCAGACAAAAAUCCUCAAGAAGCGCCUCCACCCUGUCCUUCUCCCUCUUUCUAGCCAUAUCCUCUUUCACCCCUCUUCUCUCUUCUCGCAUCCAUCCUCUUCCUUUUCACAUCCAUCCGCACUCUACAACCUUCUUCCUUGCCUAAAGAAAAAUAGAUAAUAAGAUGUUAAGGUAAAAACGCAUCAACAUGGAGUCCCAAAGCUGAAAAAUGUUAUGUAAUAAAAAUAGAUGCAUGUAACAUUAAAAAUGCAGACACCAAUAUAGAAAGCCUCUGAGUAACUAAUAGGUUGUUGUAUCAACUACUUGCAUGUAUACAUGAAUUCAACUUAUAUUUCUAAGAAAGGAAUGUAGGUUGUGGGGUUUACCGUUAUUGCCCUAGCAGCGGAACCAAGACAAAACCAUCUAUUCCCUGGAUCAAAUGCUACAGAUCACACCCAUCCCAAGUGACCACUAAUGACCUGUAUUACGGAAAUAGAAACUGUAUUUUAUCGCUUAGUGAAAACUAAGGUGCUCUCAUAGACCAAUAUAAUUCCAAGAAAAUAUGCAAAAGAAUCUAGAAGAUUUAACUAUUUUAACCAGUAUAUAAAAGCUCAGAGUAGGGUUAUUGCAAUUGCAUGCAUGAUCGAACUAAAUCUUAUUUUUCUAAUCCAAAUAUGACAUUGGUAUUUCAAGAACUUAUCCGAGGUGCCAAACCUAUCAGUUACAACAUAAAUUGGAAGGUCGCACUUGAAAAUCGUACAACAAACAAAAUACUCCGAUGGAUCAUGCCAUGGAGGUUUAGGCUAUUAGUGCAGAUGUCAAGAAUUUGAAAGACAUGAAGACAUGGGAAAUUUAAAAUAACAACCAAAAGUGCACAUUACGUCCUAAAAGUACAAUGUCCCAAAGUACAAUGAUCAGACAACCAUAAAUAGCCCCACGCCUGCUUGUCCUCUCACAUGCCACCGCAUCCCUACAAAGAGCAGUGAUAUACAUAAGACAUUAUGUCGUCUGAUACCAGCGACGCAAGCAUCCAUGCCCAUGGGCCAUGGUUAUCCCAGGAGAAGAAAGAUCAAGUAAAGAAUCAAGUGAAUCUGCUAGCCACGUUGAGUCGUACAACCAUCAGGGUAAAAGUAUAGUACACAAGGCAUUACCGAGCAUCGAGUUGCAAAGGCUAUCCAGGAGCUCGCCUAGUCUGAAAUCAACUGAGGUGACCUUGUGGUAGCCUGGUAGGCCUAGUCUGAAAGGAAAAGCAAGGGUUGGUAGUAUAUAUACUCAUCUAAAGCUCGAAAAUACAUGAACAGAUUCAUAAACAUCAUUAUAUGUGACAAAAAAUUGUCCAGUGACAAAAGAAUGCCAAUGUAAAUACUAAAAAGAAUGUGUUAAUCAUAGUUGUAUGUGUUACAUUUUCCUAUAAAGAAAAAUAAAUAUGCAGCACUUGGUCGUCAGUGGCAGCAUUAAGGACCAACAGAAUAUGCAAGAACAUAAAUGAUAAUGCAGCAUCUCGCAAAAAAAUAUAUGCUAAUGCGGCAAUAAAGUCCAUAGUAGAAUAAAACAGAUACCUUGGACGUUCAGAAUCAGUUAAAUAAAAAAUUCAACCGUCCACCUUUGAAAUAAAAAUGAAUUUUGACCUUUUUUCUAAUUCUUCAGAUUCCAUGAGUUGUAUCUUCAAUCUCUUGCAUUAAUCAACGGUUCAAAUUGUCAUGUUUUAGCUGUGAGUGUAGAUCGAGAAUUUAAGUCUAGUGAGACCCAGACACAAAAGAUGGUCUAGAUCUCGAAGAAGAGAAUACCCGUGGUUGGCUUGACUGCCAACACCUACGGCCGAGAUAAAGAGGCCCCAAAAGAUGGGAACAACCACACGGAAGAAACAUGUCUAGACUCUAUACCCGGGAAAGACACCCCAUCAGCGGGAACAAGUUAAGAAGCGGGGGAGGAAUAAAUCAAAAUGCAAAAAGUCAAGGUAAACCUGAAGAACCCAACACAUGACGUUUUCCUUCAUCAAUCUCUCGACGGCGCCGCUACAAUUCAGCAGAAUUCUUUUGUCCUCCUAAACAAAUUCACAAACAAUUAUUCCAAAGAGGAAACAACAAUUAAAAAUGGCUUGCGAGAACGGCAAAGUCAAGGAAAAUUACUCACAAACAACAGUAAAAUCCAGCACCAAAUUAUCCACAAUGGGGACAUGUACGUGAGAAGGAUGCAUACCGUCGUACGUGUUGCAGAUCAUCAGACCAAUCCGAAGCACGGAGAUUCAGACUGCUAGCUGACAACGAACCCUGACGCCCCCCUCUCGUGCGCACAUUAGAACUGGAAGAAAUUGUCCUUUGCAAAAUAGAUGGGCAGCCAGCAUCUCCGUACAUAUGAAUAUCCACCAAGCAAGAAGAGCCCAAAGACGAAAU